CAGCAAGGAGAAAGAGAGUGGGCCGAAACCCAGGAAGCCCAUGUGGGCAAGGUGAUUCGGUUUUCCCUUCAAUCUAAAUCGGGUCAAGAAAACCCAACCUAAGAUCCGUUGGAUCGAUUCUUCAACCUUGAAACACACGGAACGGCGUUUCCAACGCCUUAAGAGGGUCAACCGACCCUUGGGCAGUGAGAAAUCUUGGCUCUCAUUCAUGGCCAUUAAACUCUAUUAAAGAAUGAAACAGAAGAGGAAUAUCGUUCAAGCUUUAACGUCUCUUCCACCUUCCCUUACUCAGAUUUAAAAGCCAACGAAAAUUAUUUAAUCGGUAAUGGUUAAAACGUUUUCAUCCUCAUCUAAAACUCCCCUUCUCCACUGAGCGAUAUUUAUCGGAACACAGGGAAAGUCAAAGAUUAUUAUGGCCGCAAAAGAAAUAGAUCUACAUUUGUCAACUCAAUGGUAAACUACUAUGAAGCUCUAUCAACAAAAAUCGGAUGAAACUCAAUCAAUACAGGCAAUUCAAAGCGGAAUCGAAUCACAAAUCACGCAGAAAGAAAAGGAAAAUCACGCAUUCCUUCGGUCAUUACCAAAACUACGCAUGGCAAGGAGUGCAGAGUAGAGCUUUUACCAACUCGAAACGUCGCGAAGAUGAAUGAGCGGGUGCGUAUCUUCUGUUUUGUCCCGACUCCUUGAUCUUUCUUGGCUUCAAGGAGAUUCCAGCAGCGUAACAGUGCAAAAUUUCUCCUCCUUUUUUCAGUGAUCGCGUGCCUCUCUUUAUAGAACUCAGAACAUACUCCCUCUAAUCGUGAGUUGGCCAGGAUUCUCCAAAUCAUUUGGUUAGAAUGAAAUAUUUUUUUCAAAUCUAGUGUGGUCCCCAAGUUCUCGCAGGUGGAAAGAUAAGUUGGCUUCAUUCGUUAGACCCUAUGGAAAGCACGUAACCGUUCUCAAUGGCUUCCCUCUUUUUACCGCGGUUUUGAAACACUUCUAGGACCCCACAACAUCUCAACUGCUGCAGCACAAGUCCUGACUCAUAUGAUACAGGUGAUUGAUGAUUAUUGGGCUUGAUGCAGCGAAUAAAAUGAGGCUUCUUAGAUUGAGGGAGCAUAUAAGAUGCAAAUAUCUGAGGAAGACGACAUUUGCUUGAGGGUAGAAGUUGGCUGGAAUCCACGUGCAAGAGGUCCUUGUUCUUUUCUAAGAAUGCAGUUGUAUCAUAAGUGACCUCUCCUGCAUAAUGACGCACAGUAAAAGCUUUUUCUUUGCUGUCGAUUCUUCUAUUGAUGGAUUUGGGCAUUUUGAGUAGUCUAUUGUGUUUUAAAUGUUGGUGUUCAUAAUCGCUCAUGCGGUUCUGUUACCAUGUGGUACUCUCUAAACGAUUAUGAAUUCCAUUCUUGCAUGUUGGUAAUUUGGGACAUUUUGCUUGGGACUUUUGGGUUUGAUCUGGUAUGCGACUUACCGCAGGUUUUGCUGUGACCACCGAUGUAUUGCAGAGUACUGAUUAUCUCACAUACUUGUAAGCAUGCGGUAAGCUUCCAAGAGGAUUGACAGUGUUGCAGGUCUUGGUCGUACUCAUGUUCAUGUUUUUGCAUUUCGAGACUGUGCUGCAUUUUAAAAGCAAGUUAGCUGACGACUGUCGUGGGCCCUAUCCUUGAUUACCAGUUCAUGACUCAGUCUCAUCCGAACUUCAAACAGAUGUGCCCUCCGCAGCGCUCACUUGACUACUUGGAUUGUGCACGGUGGAAUCAAAUGGUGGUUCUGAUGAUUUCCGCUAAGAAGAUGCGGUAUGAACAACUUCUAACACACUAGCUGGAUCCAUGGAACUUUGCGAUAUCAAGGGGUUUGUAUUGACUUGCGAAGCACCAUUUCUAGGUUGUUGAUCAGUUGCGCUUAAUGACUCGGAAUGCACCUGCAGUUGGUGAUGGUUUGGGGGCAACAACAGCAGACUGUGUUGGUUUAGCUGAACCAAACAGUGUAACUGGUGGAUUGAGUGGUCGGCUGUGAUUUAAACUGCAUCCAGGACAUAGAGCUUGACUUUGCAUCCUUUGCGUGAUUUGAUCGCCUUCUGCCUUUCCUUUUCCAGCCAGAUUGCAAUUUGCGGCGUGGUUUUCCCGUUUGUGGCAAUUUUACAGGUUGCAGCUUAUGCUUUAGAAGCGUUGCAGUGUUUGUCGGAUGUUAAAGCCUCCAUUGGUUCAAUAUAUAAUAAUUAUUAUUGGAAUGGAAUGAAAAUCUUACAUCCUUGGGUUUCUUUGUAAUAUAACUUGGAUUAAUGAAUCUUUGUAAUAUUCCUUUGAAUGAAUGAAAUGUUUUCUCUUUUUCCU